rnacentral:lncRNA from 1 species
AUGGGUCUGCAGUGCCCGGCACACCCAAGACGGCCUAACGCCACAGGCCAGGCCCUCAGAUCUGGCCUCCUCCUCCUCCUCUGCCCUCCUUCCACCCUGCACAGGGCCACCUGCUCCCCUGAGAGCUGCAGAGGGCGACUGAGGCAGCGACGCUGCAUAUUCAUGAGGUUGUCAUGUCUCAUACCCAUUUGCAGCGUGAAGUCACCGCAGUCUGCUGAGCGCUCAUGGAACAUCCCCCCGGAGAAGGGCGCCAAGCAGCGCCUGGCCUGGAGUCUGGCAGAAGUUUCUGGGCCAGGCAAGGGUGUGGGUGCUCGUGGGGAGGGUGGCACAGCGGGCCAUCUCCACCGAGCCCCACUCUGGUUCCUCCUGCCUCUCAGAAGCACUUCUCGGCCGCAGACUCUGCGGCUUCACCCAGGCUGCCUUCCUGCACCGUGGGUGCCCCAAGUUCUAGCCUUUCUCCCCUCUUCACACUUACCAAACCUACCCGCCCCCGUCCUACUCUCCCUGCCUGUACUAAGUGACUGUCAUAAAGGAUGUGCCGCCCACCGCACGUCCUGCCCUGGGCCCAGCCCUCGGCUCCAAGAGAGUGGGGUCCAGGGUCAGGAGGAGGGAUGGGGGCGGGCAUGCCCAUCAAAGCUAACGGGAGGAUGCCAAAACGCAGAGGGCGGUUCCACAGGGAGGAGGGGGCAGGGCGGUCUGAACAGCAUAUCGGAUCUGGGGGCACCGGUGUCGGGAAGCCCAGGCAGAGAGAACUGCAUCUGUGGGUCAAGGCAUCUGUGGGAGCUGCAGAGCAUCCUAGCUCCUGUGCUGACAUACGGAACUGACAUGCAAGAACCUUCUGGAAACCAUGCGUGUGCCCAAGUGGGAUUCCACAGUGGAAUUUCAGGCUCUGUCGUGAGGUUGGAGCACAGAGUUUUGACUCAGAAAAGAUCUUCUAGUGCCUUUCAGAGCACAGCCAUUCUACCUCUGAAUCCCACUGGCCUCGGGCAAAGAAUCUCCCUGCUCCCUGAGACGGCGCCCAUGGGAAAUUCGCCACCCUAG